rnacentral:lncRNA from 1 species
UUUAAUUAUAAAAAAUAUAUGUAGAAAUAUUCCACAUUUUAUAAAAAGUAUACCUUAAGAUUUCUUUUUUGUAUAGCAAAUUGUUGCUCAAUACUGUAAAUAGUUUUGUUUAUUCUUUUCACUGUUUGUAAUUGAAUUAUCUGUAAGUGUUCAGUUUAAAAUGUAAUGUAUUGACGAAAUAUCAAAUCAAACAGAUUAUCACCAGACUAUUUUAAAUUUAUUUUUCUCAUUGGGUAUUAAAGCCUAAUGAUCAUUAGACUGGUUUUCUGUCCUUCAUCUGUUUGGCUCUGAAAUACCCGUAUGUUGCAAGGGAGAGGACCAGCCUAAUGAUCAUAGAUUAUCUAUGGUUAUUAAAACAUGGGGGAAAUUCUUGGAUGCAAUCUUAUCGAAUGGCGUUUGGGACCAACCCCUGAAAUGAAUAGUAGCCUAGAAAAUCAUUAUCCUUUCUGAAGCUCACUCAGUAGAUAAUCUAUCAUUAUUAGUAAUAAUAUAUCAAAUUCACAGAACUUUUCAAAAAGAUCAUCAUAGAUGUGUUUAUAGCUUUUUCAAAAGCAAUGUUAAUUACACAUCACAUCUUCUCAUUUUCAAUCUACUCAAAUGAGAAAAAAAACCUUCUCAAUCUAGUAGCUUGUGAUAGAAAAUGAUAAACAAAAUUGAAAGGAAAAUAUGUGAAAAUAACAUUUUAAGUAACAAAUACA